GGGAGCUGUUGAAGCCGGGGGACGGCGCGUUGUUGACGUAGGUGAUCUCAGGCCAUGGAGAGCACUCGGUGAGGAUGGUGGUCUCAUAGGAGGGCUGGUACUUCUCCUUCUCAUGUGGGGUGCGCUUCUCCAUCUUCUCACGGUCCGUCUUCUGCUUCCGAUCGGCUCCUUUGGGCUUGAACACCUUGAUCUGGCAGCUGGCUGAGUGCAGGUGCUCUGUGUACUCCCCGUUCUCGUUCUCCUUGAAGGUGUCGAUCUGCACCCGGAAUGGCACUCCCUUUUCCCCCCCGU
rnacentral:lncRNA from 1 species